CGGCCUCGGCGCCGAACUCCCGUGGAGCGGAGGGAAGCGCGCUAGUUGCCAGGCCCCGUGCGCCAUCGCCGAGGAAGGCCGGACGCCCUGGGCCCGGGUCUCGGCUCACUUUUCUCAGAAGCUCCAGAGCGGGGCAAGGGCACCGAGGUCGCGACAUGGACCCUGGUUUCAGCGCCUGCAGUCCGCCAGCUCUGGCUCGGCUCCGGGCCUCCUCAGGGAGAGCGAGGGAGCGAAAACUCAACCUACGUCCUGGAACUCAGAUCGAGGAAGGGAAGCAAAAGCAAAGGUGUGGUUACACAAGACAACGGUAGACGAACCGUUGCUCUUGGCUAAGUCGGCCUGGGCUUUGCAGCCCCAGAAGCGCGGUACCGUCGGCGCGGGGGCGAGGGCGUGGACAGUCGCCGCCCUCCCCGCGGCGCCGCCGCGCGCUCCAGGGCCCUCCAGCGGCCUGGCCUGCGACCCCGGUUCUCCCCCUAACGCCCGCGCGAGGAAGGCUGCCCGGAGCCAAAGGCGACCUGGGCUGAGGCCGGAGCGAGACAGCGCCACGGGACCCGGGAGCUAGAGGAAGGCGGUGUCUCGGACCCUUCCCUGAAAACGCUCUGGUCCUCCAGGAUUUGCCAAGUCUAAAGCAGCUCCAGGAAGGCUGCGCGAGCUUUCGGAGAAACCCACUGUGGGGCUCACCCCGGUCGGUCUCAAGCCCUCGCCUCCUCCCCUCUUCAGAUCCACCACCCUCCCCGGAUCCCGGGCCGCGCGGGCUGAGCCUGCGGAGCCGUGGAAGUGAGGCUUCAGGCGGAGCGAAGGAGCCCCCUGCUGGCCACACGCGACAGGCGCGGCCACCCACUCCAGGUUCCCUCCGCCCCGCGGGCGCGGCCCCGCCCUGACCCUCCUCGACCCUGGCGCUGGGGGCGUGUUAAAAGAAACAGCAAAACAAAACAGCACCCAAAUCCACUCUCACCUCAUCUACUGCUCGGAGCCCAUGGACUCUGUUUACUUCACCCAACAAUUCAUUGGCAGUCUGCUAUUCAGCACCUACCACGCAUCAGACCCUCAAUGUGCUUGGAAUACUGCAGAGAACAAGAUCAGCCAGGACUCUGCUCCAGUUGCCCUCUUUGAAGUAGCAGGCAAAAGGGAAUCCAUCCCCAUGUUUCACAAUUGCUAAGGUA